UGGGGAAUAUUGGACAAUGGGCGCAAGCCUGAUCCAGCCAUGCCGCGUGUGUGAAGAAGGCCUUUUGGUUGUAAAGCACUUUAAGCGAGGAGGAGGCUACCCUGACUAAUAUUCAGGAGUAGUGGACGUUACUCGCAGAAUAAGCACCGGCUAACUCUGUGCCAGCAGCCGCGGUAAUACAGAGGGUGCGAGCGUUAAUCGGAAUUACUGGGCGUAAAGCGCGCGUAGGCGGUUUGUUAAGUCGGAUGUGAAAUCCCCGGGCUCAACCUGGGAAUUGCAUUCGAUACUGGCAAGCUAGAGUAUGGGAGAGGAAGGUAGAAUUCCAGGUGUAGCGGUGAAAUGCGUAGAGAUCUGGAGGAAUACCGAUGGCGAAGGCAGCCUUCUGGCCUAAUACUGACGCUGAGGUGCGAAAGCAUGGGGAGCAAACA
rnacentral:rRNA from 1 species